AGCCUAGCCGAUCUAGGAUAUUUUGGAUAUUCUGCUCUAAAUACAACCAGGAAUGCCAGGAUACGUGUGCAAGGAUCAUCGCCAGGCCAUCAGCAGUUAACGCAACAGCAGGAAAUAUAAUUCUCCACGUCGGUGCACCGGAAGCUGAUCUGGAAUUUUUAUAAAUAUUUUUUAAGUGAAUCCAUAACGGAUACGCCAGAUCCUGGAUCGUGCGGUGAUCAUGGUUCGAGAAUUCGAAGAUUUCACAUGGAAUGCAACACCGACAUCGAUGGAGUUGAUGUCGAUUCGUAAGUAAAGUGACCAGCUCUUUCCUCAAUAUAAAAAAUUAAGUACAAUUUAGUUUAAUCAAUAUUAUUUAUAUUAUUCAAUAAGUAAUAGAAUAUUCGACACAGUACUAAAAGAUUCGGUAUAAAAAAGUAAUAAGUUUAUAAUCUGUAAGACCUGUAGUGUAUAUAUAGAUGCAAUAUUGAAAAUAAUUUUACAAAUUAUGUAUACAACAAUUAUCUUAUUUUUAUUUUAAAUGUAUUAAAUACAUUUUAUGUAUUGAAGCAAUAAUUCAUCUUUAGCGAAUUCUGAUUCAUCUUUUUCUGAAAUUAUUAUGUUAGUUAAGUGAAUAAGACUGACCGCUUUACUUAUAAUAAUCAGUUUUAUUCUGAAAUACUUGAAAAUCUUUAUUUGUGAGUAGUGUUUCUGUUACUGCUAAAAAAAAUUUAAUGGGAUACUGAGAUACCUGUAGCUAUUGAGGAUUGAAGAUUUAAUGAGCGUUUUUACAUUAUUUUGAGAAAAUGAGAAGAAGAAUAAGCCUUAGAAUAUUAGGACUUGCAAGAAUUAAUUGUACAUUAUCGUUCUACAUGAAAAGAUUUUUUAGGAAACAUUUUUUGAAAACUAUAUAUUCAAAUGUAAUAAUCGCUGAAAUAUUGGAUGCAAACAAUUAACUGACGUUACCAGAGCAAUAUUCUUGACACUAUUUUUUAUAGUACGUUAGCGUUUGCCAUAUCGACUAUUGCGGAAAGUCUCUAGUAACCAUAUUGCCAGUAACGAUAACUCCUCGUGGUGGAAUCGUUGUAACGUCGAGAUUGACUAAAGACAAAACGUAUCGCUGAAAAAUGCAUGCUACAAUCGGCGAUAGGUAUAAUGCUCGUGAAUCGAUACUCGUCAGACACGCUCAUAUCGCGAUUUAUUACUGUCACCUUAUUACGUAAGGUAACAUGUAAUAAGCUACGGUGACGCAAAACGCGACUCCUUUUGCGUGUACACAGCAUUUCGGACCUCAAAAGCGUGUUCAGUUUUCCAAGCUCGAUCGUAUUUGCAGCUCGGGUAGUUGCAACAGCAUGCUACACCGCGUGGAACGAGAUCCACAAACGUAUGAAAACGGCCAUAAAUCAUUAAUAAGGUCUGCUAUUUUGCAGCAUUUGAAUAUAUUCGUUAGAGUCCGCGCCGCGCCGCGCCGCGCCGCACGUGUUUUCUUUACGUAGCGUAUUUCGUUGCAGGGUGCAAGUUUAUCAUGCAUGCUGCUUGUUACGACUCGCAUCGUUUGCUUUUCCACUCGAUGACAGAUACUAUGCUAUUUCCCGCGCAUGUUUUGCCACGUGUAACUAGGCGUGAUCCGGUCGUAACAAUCGUGCGAGCUCUUCUUUUCACUCUCCAUCUACAUAAUCGCGUUACAUCAAUCACACGCGUCACUCGCGUCUGUGUCCUAUGACGCUAAAUCUGCAGCAACCCUUGUUUUGUAACAUGCCGGAUAACAUGCAUUACAGUCUGCAAAGACAAUGGACAAGGAAAAACUGACAAGAAAAUAUGUAUUGUGCAGCGUGAGCUUAACAAACUGUCUCUAAUGAAAAAAAUAUAAAAUUUUCAUAAUCGAACUAUACUAUAAUUAGACCUGAGGUCUUAAGAUAUUUAUAUUCGUAUGUGUCUUUCUCUUCUGUACGAUGUAGAAUGCUGUCGCUUUAAAAUUUCGAUUUUGUUGCUGAAAAUUCUCUUUGCAUCCUAGAUGCAGAAGCAUAUUGUUGUAUGAUUAUUCAUUAUUAUUUUCUUGUACAGCUUUAUUAACAAAAGGAACAAUCUUUUUUUAAAAACUUUUUAAAUUAUA